GAUGAACGCUGGCGGCGUGCCUAAUACAUGCAAGUCGAACGAACAGACGAGGAGCUUGCUCCUCUGACGUUAGCGGCGGACGGGUGAGUAACACGUGGAUAACCUACCUAUCAGACGGGGAUAACUUCGGGAAACCGGAGCUAAUACCGGAUAAUAUAUUGAACCGCAUGGUUCAAUAGUGAAAGACGGUUUUGCUGUCACUUAUAGGUGGAUCCGCGCCUCGUUAGCUAGUUGGUAAGGUAACGGCUUACCAAGGCGACGAUGCGUAGCCGACCUGAGAGGGUGUUGGGCCACUCUGGAACUGAGCCGCGGCCCUGGCUCCUACGGGCGGCAGCAGUAGGGAAUCGUCCGAGAUGGGCGAAAGCUUGACGGAGCAACGCCGCGUGAGUGAUGAAGGUCUUCGGAUCGUAAGACUCUGUUAUUAGUGAAGAACAAAUGUGUAAGUAACUAUGCGCGUCUUGACGGUACCUAAGCAGAGAGCCACGGCUAACUACGUG
rnacentral:rRNA from 1 species